AAAGUGCGACAAGUGUCAUGACUUGCAGAUACCCGAGAGCUGACAAAUUUCUGAAUGCAAAUUGCAGCCAAGUUAACCUGGCUAUGUAUUGCAGAGAGUACUUCGCUUAUGCGCGCCAUCCAGGGGUGGUUCCAUUCCUCCCUUGGGCUAUGUGCAGGCACAUCAAUGUGCUUGCUGAGCAUUGUGCCACAAUCUAACCUCCGUGUUGGAUUUUAAAGGCCAACUCAAAUUAAAGAUAGAAAACCAAUGAGUUUUCCCGGACAAUAAUGAGCGCUAAAAUUGUGUGUACGUAUGUGAGUCGUAAAAAAGCCCACACAUACACAAUUUUACUCUCUCACCAUUCACCUCUGCAAUGCAGGAGAACCCGCUGAACUUAA
rnacentral:misc_RNA from 1 species